rnacentral:rRNA from 1 species
GAUCAUGGCUCAGGAUGAACGCUGGCGGCGUGCUUAACACACGCAAGUCGAGCGAAGCACUUAAGUUUGAUUCUUCGGAUGAAGACUUUUGUGACUGAGCGGCGGACGGGUGAGUAACGCGUGGGUAACCUGCCUCAUACAGGGGGAUAACAGUUAGAAAUGGCUGCUAAUACCGCAUAAGACCACAGUACUGCAUGGUACAGUGGUAAAAACUCCGGUGGUAUGAGAUGGACCCGCGU